GUUCCAUGUGGCGUGGUGUUUGAUUGAUGCAGGCCUUCUCCAUCUACGCGAUGUGCUCACUGAUGCGGUGGUGAUGGAGUGAGAUACCCCUGCUGAAGCUGAUCUAGUGAGCAGCUGGCCUGUGUUCCUCGCUUGCACAGUGGCUUUGCAGUUGUUUUUCCAUCACAUCUUUCCCCUUCAUUAUCACUUGAGGGGUUUUUGUGUUGGUGGCUUCUCUUUAGGGAAAUGGAAGGAUUUACUGAGCCGCUUUCCACCUCAGUUGGCAGAUCUCAACUUUAGGAUGUGGUGGAGAGGUGGACAACCUGCAUCAUGCUUGUGCGGCCGUCAAAUCUGCAGCAACUGUGUGAUGCUGUCAUGUCAAUAUGGACCGAAGUCUCUGAGGAAUGUUUCCAGCACCUUGUUGAAUCUAUGCUGCAAAGAAAGAGGCAGUUCUGAAGGCAGAAGCAGGUCCAACCCAGUACUAGCAAUGUUUAAUUUGUGAAGUGGCUGGUACGUUUUUGUACAUUUGGAAACUAAUAAUCUGCACUACCAUUAAAAUUAAUGUUUUUUUGUUUCUAAUAAAUAACCCCACAACGGGCUGUUACUUGUUAUAAGGUUUAGCUAACAGACAUUUUUUUAAUACAUUUAGAUUUUUAGUUUAUUUGAAGCUGUUGAAAAUGACAAAAUUACCUUUAAGAAGAUGUGGCAUAACUGGAUUUACAACUGGAUUAAGAUUACCUGUAACCAUAGUAA